GACGAACGCUGGCGGCGUGCUUAACAUAUGCAAGUCGAACGCUGAAGCUCAGCUUUUGUUGGGUGGAUGAGUGGCGAACGGGUGAGUAACACGUGAGUAACCUGCCCCCUUCUUUGGGAUAACGCCCGGAAACGGGUGCUAAUACUGGAUAUUCACUGGUCUUCGCAUGGGGGUUGGUGGAAAGGGUUUUUCUGGUGGGGGAUGGGCUCGCGGCCUAUCAGCUUGUUGGUGGGGCGAUGGCCUACCAAGGCUUUGACGGGUAGCCGGCCUGAGAGGGUGACCGGUCACAUUGGGACUGAGAUACGGCCCAGACUCCUACGGGAGGCAGCAGUGGGGAAUAAUGCACAAUGGGCGCAAGCCUGAUGCAGCGACGCCGCGUGAGGGAUGGAGGCCUUCGGGUUGUGAACCUCUUUCGCUCAUGGUCAAGCCGCAACAAUGGUUGUGGUGAGGGUAGUGGGUAAAGAAGCGCCGGCUAACUACGUG
rnacentral:rRNA from 1 species